rnacentral:lncRNA from 1 species
CCUUUACUAUUAUGCUAUAAAACUCGUUUGUACUUGGAUUGUUUGCCAAAUUAUUUAUAUGCAUUUUUAGUUGAUAUUAUCCCCCCCCCCUGCCAACAUCUUUUUUUAUAAUUUCAGUUUGGUACUCGACCUGACCUGAAUAACCUGAUCCGAAUAAAGAUUAAUCAAGUGGGUUCGGGUACCCAGCAGAUUAACCAUUUUUUAUGGGACAUGUUUGGGAUUUCUAGGCAAAUUUUUAAUUGGAUUUGGGGUGGGUUUGAUCAUAGAAUUUUAAACAGGUGCGGGUAUGGGUAGGGCAAAUUUUGCAGGCACCCUAGCCAUUGCAUCCCUUU